rnacentral:rRNA from 1 species
UACGGAGGGUGCGAGCGUUGUCCGGAAUCACUGGGCGUAAAGGGCGCGUAGGCGGACAGUUAAGUCGGGGGUGAAAGCCCGGGGCUCAACUCCGGAAUUGCCUUUAAAACUGCAUCGCUAGAAUUGUGGAGAGGUAAGUGGAAUUCCGAGUGUAGAGGUGAAAUUCGUAGAUAUUCGGAAGAACACCAGUGGCGAAGGCGACUUACUGGACACAUAUUGACGCUGAGGUGCGAAAGCGUGGGGAGCAAACAGG